AUGAUUAAGCCAGGAGUGGAGAAGAGUUGGAAAAGACAAAGCAUUCUCUUUGUGGAGUUGUGCUACACAUUGGAGGAAUCUAAUUACUUUUUCUGUGGAGCCAGGGGCUGUAUGCAAGUUCUUUACCUGUCAUGUUAUGGAAGAAAGAAGAGGAAAGGGGAUGGAAGAAGGAGUGAGAAAUAGAACAAAAGCCAAAAUUUGGAAAGCAAGUGUAUCAUGACUCACAAAAUAAAUUGAACAAACAAUGCCA
rnacentral:lncRNA from 1 species